rnacentral:rRNA from 1 species
GACGAACGCUGGCGGCGUGCCUAAUACAUGCAAGUAGAACGCUGAAGGAGGAGCUUGCUCUUCUGGAUGAGUUGCGAACGGGUGAGUAACGCGUAGGUAACCUGCCUGGUAGCGGGGGAUAACUAUUGGAAACGAUAGCUAAUACCGCAUAACAGUAGAUGUUGCAUGACAUUUGCUUAAAAGGUGCAAUUGCAUCACUACCAGAUGGACCUGCGUUGUAUUAGCUAGUUGGUGGGGUAACGGCUCACCAAGGCGACGAUACAUAGCCGACCUGAGAGGGUGAUCGGCCACACUGGGACUGAGACACGGCCCAGACUCCUACGGGAGGCAGCAGUAGGGAAUCUUCGGCAAUGGACGGAAGUCUGACCGAGCAACGCCGCGUGAGUGAAGAAGGGUGUCGGAUCGUAAAGCUCUGUUGUAAGAGAAGAACGAGUGUGAGAGUGGAAAGUUCACACUGUGACGGUAUCUUACCAGAAAGGGACGGCUAACUACGUG